rnacentral:lncRNA from 1 species
GGCUGCUCCGGAGGUGGAGGGAGAGGAAUUCUUGCUUCUUAAGCAGAGAGGCCCAUGUCCCACCUCUGUCGAGCUGGGGUGGCCCCUCGGCUCCAGCUUUUCGAAAAGCUCUCAUCUCCCCAGCUGACAGCACGGCAGGCCGGGCCUCCGGCCGGGCGCGUCACACAGCGUGCAGAAGUGUUUCCAGGGAAGUAAGGCGUGGCCUCCUGUGGGGUCCCCGGGAGCAGGCACCGUCUCCUUGAAGUCUCCAAGUCCGAGGCAGCAGCCGGCGUUCAUCCCGCAGUGGCCCCGGCCACCCUGUCGUGUCCUUUUGCCCACUUCAUACAAACACAGCCGACAUCCACUGCUAAUUCCUGGGGGAGGAGUCAUCACGUGCGGCGCUCGUCAGCUGCCCCACCAGGGCUGUGGGCCUCAGUACUGGGGAUCAAACUCGGGACCUUGUGCUUGCGAGGCAGGCGGUGGAACCACAGAGCUACAUCCCCGGCCCCUGUAUUUCUUCAUUGAUUAAGUAUUGUAUUCUCUACCUUUUUGUUUUUGGCAUUGUUUUUUCCUUUCCUCAUUGGUUUAUAGAUGUUCUUUAUAUGUAAAUGUUCUGUGAUACAUGUAGCAAAUAUUUCCUCCCAGCCUGUCAUUUAAGGGCAGCUAUUUAUUUUUGUGACAUUUUUCACUAUACAUGUUUAAAAUUUUUACGUGGGUGAACAUUCUUUUUUUUGUUCUCUUUUUGACUUUUAGUCUUUAUGUCAUGCUUUUCUACACUGAGGUUACAAAUGUUUUUCCUAUGAUUUCUCCCAGUGCUUUUACUGUUUUGUUGUAUUAUACAGAGCUCUUUAACCCAGCAGUAUUUUAUUUUUGAGGGUGGUAGUGAGAUUUGACAUGGUUUAGUUAUUAAGCUAAUCUUUAAAGCUUUUAUUUUUUCAGUUUUUCUUCAAAGAGAAAGCAGUUGCUUCAAAUUCAUUUUUUGGUUUUUUUGAGACAGCGUCUCACUAUGCAGUUCAGGCUGGCCUUGAACUCACUAUGUAGCCCUGGCUGGCCUCGAACUCAUGGCGAUCCUCCUGCCUCAGCCUCCCAAGUGCUGGGAUUACA